GUUCGCUAUCACUCUUGGAUGGACCUGCGGUGCAUUAGCUAGUUGGUAGGGUAACGGCCUACCAAGGCGAUGAUGCAUAGCCGAGUUGAGAGACUGAUCGGCCACAUUGGGACUGAGACACGGCCCAAACUCCUACGGGAGGCAGCAGUAGGGAAUCUUCCACAAUGGACGCAAGUCUGAUGGAGCAACGCCGCGUGAGUGAAGAAGGGUUUCGGCUCGUAAAGCUCUGUUGUUGGUGAAGAAGGACAGGGGUAGUAACUGACCUUUGUUUGACGGUAAUCAAUUAGAAAGUCACGGCUAACUACGUGCCAGCAGCCGCGUAAAU
rnacentral:rRNA from 1 species